GCAUGGUAGAUAUGCCAAAGAUUUAUCGCUCAAAGAUGGACUCGCGUCCGAUUAGCCAGUUGGCGGGGUAACGGCCCACCAAAGCGACGAUCGGUAGCCGGACUGAGAGGUUGAACGGCCUCAUUGGGACUGAGACACGGCCCAGACUCCUACGGGAGGCAGCAGUGGGGGAUAUUGCGCAAUGGGGGAAACCCUGACGCAGCAACGCCGCGUGAAGGAUGAAGGUUUUCGGAUUGUAAACUUCUUUUAUUUAGGACGAACAAUGACGGUACUAAAUGAAUAAGCUCCGGCUAACUACGUGCCAGCAGCCGCGGUAAUACGUAGGGAGCAAGCGUUAUCCGGAUUUACUGGGUGUAAAGGGUGCGUAGGCGGCUUGGUAAGUCAGAUGUGAAAUGUAUGGGCUCAACCCAUGUACUGCAUUUGAAACUAUUGAGCUUGAGUGAAGUAGAGGUAGGCGGAAUUCCCUGUGUAGCGGUGAAAUGCGUAGAGAUAGGGAGGAACACCAGUGGCGAAGGCGGCCUACUGGGCUUUAACUGACGCUGAGGCACGAAAGCGUGGGUAGCAAACAGGAUUAGAUACCCUGGUAGUCCACGCUGUAAACGAUGAUUACUAGGUGUGGGGGGUCUGACCCCUACCGUGCCGGAGU
rnacentral:rRNA from 1 species